GGUUAUGGCUCAGUGGUAGAGUGUUCGCCUCACAUGUGGGAGGCCCUCGGUUUGAUCCUCAGCACCA
rnacentral:tRNA from 1 species